rnacentral:lncRNA from 1 species
UUCCAAUGGGUAUCUGACCAAACAACCUCGUAUUAGAAAAAUUGAGACUGAGGAGCUCGGUCAGCCGCUCAAACCCAAAACUAGGAAGACUGGUCAGGCCAAAGUCAUUACCAGAGAGGCUGAGAUUUGUGAGAGAGGUGAGGUUGAAUAGUGCUAGGCUGAGACCACUGGUGCUCCGCAGGUUACGAUUACUGAGGUCCAAAGUGAUCACCUGACCUGGCCCUAUCACACCCGAUGCCCUCCCAGUGGCAACAGUCUGAGCCAUGUUGCCAUGAUGAAAGGUUGGGGUUGUGGAAGGAGUGCUUCAGCUGGAGUAGAGAUGAAGCCUGAUUAGGGAGGCACUGGACUGUGGUUCCAUUGGUGCCAUUGGCAGCAAUGUUGGUGGAGCAGUAGCAUGCAAGGAGUAGCAGGGUGUAGUGAAGCCGUGGGCGCCUGGAGCUCAUCUUUCUACUGCUUAUCUGAUUAUAACUUCAAGCUGGUGCUUGGGGCAAUAUAUAAUAGUACAGGGUAGAUGUAGAAAUCCCAAUAGUACAUUUCGCUCGUUUAUGUUGUGCAGUGUCAUUAUGUGGCCAAUGUUAUUUCCUGUGCAACACCGCAACGCCUUUGAUGUGCACACGACUGGUUGCUCGCUAAUUCAAAGUUCAAAGAACAAAUUGCUACCUCUCAUGAGACAAGGUCCAGUUCCCCGUAGGCCCGUUGCAAGCUACGGUACUUAAUGUAGUCAGUGUACUGCAGGUGCUGUAGCGUGUCUCCUGUGGCAAGAAUUUACAACAGGAUAGCUACAUAUUGCUUAUUUCAUAAGGAAGCUCUCCUCAAGAGCUGGAGUUGAUUAUAUUACCUGAAAUAUAGUCUGAGUUUUACGGGGUAUAUAAGUUGAGCCAACAUUAGAAAAGGUUACUGAUGUUUCUGUUUUACUUCAGAGAAAUACCUUGGGAAUGUACAUGUUCUGAAAAAUGGCAGGUUUACUCUUUGUUCUAUAAGAUAAGGGCUGGAGUUGAUUAGAUUACUGGAUAUGGAGUCUGUGUUUUAGGGGAUAUAAGUUGACCCAGCCAACAUUAGGAAAUACUACACAUAUUAAUUAUAGCUGAUUUGGAGACUGAAGGAAGAAGAAUAUUGAGAUUUCUAUUUUAGCCUUGUCAGUAUGUCACAGGUGAUGCUCUCCCACUGGCAGCAGUCUCUUCCAUCUUGUCAAGACGCCAGAUUCGCAUCGACGUCGAUGAAUGAGUGCUUUAGCCGGAGCAGGGAAGAAGCCUGAUCUUGGAGGCAAGAAACUGUGGUGUUAUGCUUGGCUGCAUACUAGCAGUAGCACUAGCAGGAGUAGUAGUCGACGGAGUAGGAGCAUACUAGCAGUAGCAGGAUUAGUAGGAGGGGUUGCUGUUUAGUUGAGUAAUUUUUCUACUGUCUUGCUAGUUGCUGCUUCCUCGGUGGUGCACAAGGCUAUACAUGGCAGUUUAUGUUUUUUUUUGCGGGUGAAUGGCAGUUUAUAUUUAACUGUAUUGUACAGAUUUUCCUUGAAAAAUGUAUUGUACAGAUUUUCCAUUUACACUUCUAAGGCUGCGAGCACAACAGAUCACCGUAGAUUGUGGACUAUAGUGACGUUCAUGUUGUUGUCCUAGACUAAUUCAGCAUAUCGAGUGUUGGUUGUUGUGCGAUCUUUGACUGCCUCAGUGGAAUUUUUUUUUUGAGAACAAGCGGAAUUUCUUUUGUGGUUGUGGUUGGUUUACAUCCUUGUGCACCACGGACUCAGGUCCUCAAACAUUGCUGUUCUAAUUGUUUGGGUAGUUCUUUCAAGGAAAACAUAAAAGAUUCUAAGGUAACAAGCACCCGUGUAUAAAUACAGGCUUUACAACUUCAGGCCAGUGCUCAGGGCAAUAUAUAAUACAGGGUAGAACCAUACAAGUAGAAAUUUGGGCAGUGCAUUUUCGUUCCUAGCAGUAGAAGUUUAUGUUAAAUGCCACUGUUGUUAGUCCAAGAUGAAAGCAUGUGUAGAGCCAUCAUGUGGCCAGUGUUAUUUCCUGUGCAAUACGGCAGUGCCUUUGAUGUGCACACGACUGGUUGCUGACUAAUUGAAAGGUUACGGAACGGCUUGUUACCUUUCAUGAGUCAAGGUCUCUACUUGCAUGUAGGCCCGUUGCAAGCUACUGUAGUUAAUGUUGUCACUGUACUGUAGUGUUGCAGCGUGUCUUCACCGGCAAGAAUCUACAGCAGGAGAGCUACAUUAUUAUUAAUUUGAUUAGGAAUCUCUCCUCUAGAGCUGGAGUUAAUUAGAUUACUAGAAAGAGAGUCUGUGUGAGUUUCAGGGGUAUAUAAGUUGAGCCAACAUAAGAAAAGGCUACACAUACUAUUAGUUAUAGCUGAUUUGAAGACUAAAUGGAGAAUUUAAUCUUUCUGUUUUACUCAGAGAAAUACCUUGGGAACAUACAUGUUCUGAAAAUUUGCAGGUUACUGUUUGCUUGUAAAAUAAGAGCUGGAGUUGAUUAGAUUACUGGAUAUGGAGCCUGAGUUUUAUGGGAUAUUAGUUCAGACAACGAACAUUGGGGAGGAUGGUGGCCGGCGAAGCUGCUGCUCGUGCUGAAGGAGGCCACGCAGUAGCAGGAGUAGGAGGGCGUGGAGGCAUGCCAGUUUGUAUCUGGAAACUGUAUUGUACAGAAUUUCCAUCACCACAGAAGAAGGUGAUGGAGAUUGUAUAUAGUAUUUACUUCUAUACAAUCACUUCAGAAGAAGGUGAUGGAGUACAUUUCUAAGGCUGCGAGUUCAAACGACCGAUUCCGCAAAUCAGGUAUUGUCUCUGGCCUGUGUUUGACUGCCUUUUCGGUGGGAUUUCUUUUGAAGUACACUCGGCAGCGGCUGUGCCCAACCUCUGAAGCAUCGGUUUGGUUUACAUCCCUGUGCACAGCAAACAUCGCUGUUCCAAACAAAUUAUUCUACAGAUUUUCCUUCACCGCAGAAGGAGGCCAUGGACAAUAAUAUUUACACUUCUAAUGGCUGUGAGAGCAACCGAUCACCGACGUUCUGUCUUGCUGUCCUAGACCGAUUCGGCAUAUCAAUUUUUGGUUCCUUUUUUUGAGUAACAUCAAUUUUUGGUUCCUGUGCAGUGUUUAACGGCAUAUUCAGUGGAAUUUCUUUUGUGGUCGUGGUAGAUACAUUCGGCAGUGGCCAUGCGCUCUCAAGCCAUUGGUUUCGUUUACAUCCUUGUGGAAAAAAUGAAAAAAAAAUAUUUUGGGUAAUUAUUUUGUUGUUAUAUUUUUUGGGGGUAAUUUUUCAAGGUAAAACAUAAAGGUUCGAGAUAACAAGCACCCGUAUAUAAAUUCUUGGUCAUGGUGAAAAGAUCUCAAAUAAUCUAGCUAAAAUUCCAGUAACUAUUCACAUAUUGUGCCUAUUGCCCCGAUGAAAUCGAUACUCCCCCCGGUUCCAAAAUAAGCAUCGCUAAUUUAAUAUAAAAUCAGCACAAAGUUGUACUAAAUCAACAACCCUUGUUUUGGGACGGAGGAGUAGCAUUUAGCGUUCAAAAUUAGGGAUACUCGUGACUCACCUUCGACGAGGAAGGCCGCCAUCAGGUACUGCUACGAACACGAGAAAGUCGUUUAGGAUUUUGGGAAUGUUCAGAACCUUCCCAAACCGGGUUCUCUUGUUCUUUUUUCUGCUUUCCUCCUUUUCUUUUUUCAUUUUUUUUUCUUUUUUGUUUCCAAAUUCAUGAACAUUUUCUGAAAUCUGAGAACAUUUUUUCAAAUUUGUGAACAUUAUUUGAAAUUCAAAAUUUAUUCAUCAAAUUCAAAAAACGUCCAUCAUAUUGAAAAAUGUUCAUCAAAUUCAAAAAAUGAUCAUUAAAUUUAAAUUUUGUACAUCAAAAUACAUAAAAUAAUAAUUGAAAAUUCAAAAAUGUUCAUAAAAAUACAAAAAAUGUCACAAAAAUUCAAAAAAUGUUCAUUUUUAGAAUUUAUGAACAUUUUCCUGAAUUCAUGAACAUUUUUUAAAUUCUUGAACAGGUUUUUGCAUUAGUAAACAUUUUUUCGAAAUUCUAAUUUGCUUUUUGAAAUCCCAAACUUUUUUAAAGAAGCAAAAAACAAAAACAGAAAAAAAAAGAUACGAAAAAAAUAAGGGAGACCGGCCCCGCAUCUGGGUCGGCCCAAGGUCACACAUGGGGGAGCGAGAGGGUGCGCGCUAAAUCUCAAAAAAAAGAGGGUGCGCGUUGCCCACUUUCCCACACGCUCGUCCGGCCGCAACGCCGGCGUCCGCAGGCGGCUGUAGUUCAUGCACCAAGUCGGAGCAUCAUCACUCGCGUGAGAUAUGAGACACAGGAAACGCGGCAAGCCGGAGCAGGGAUGCCGCCCAAGUUGCUACCUGCUACGGACUUGGUCAGUUUUCACUCUCGUCACUGGGGACGCCAUGGGGUUCGUCCUCGUGCUCCAGGUGUUCGAUGGAAUGUGCCUGGGCGACAAAAUGCACACAUCUCUCAUUUAUUUUUCCCAAAAAAUGGCGCGUGAAAUACAGGAUUGACACUAGGAACUGUAAGUCUAAUUGGACUCGUUUACUACCUUUUCAGGUGUCCUGGGUUGACCAAACUCUGGCCGCAAAAGAGCUGCUGGGGAUCAAGGUCUACCACAGACUCUGCCUUGAUUAACCUUAAGAAGCAGGUUCGUACAAGCUCAUACUAUGAUUUUGUUUCCUUACUUUACAAUUCAUCAUAUAUGAAAAGGAGAAAAGGUGCAUCAGUCUUAUACAAGUAGGUUCGUACAAACUCAUAUCAAUACAUAUGAUAAACAAACACACUGACACAGCCCAGGCCACACAUCAUUUACUGGUAGAACGGAAACGAUUGCAGUUCCAGCGUUUGGCCUGGAAAGCCACUGACAAAACAACAGCCACCGCAAAGCCAACUCCGAAACCGGAUCCCACAAACACAAACAACACUAUGGUUCCAACACUGUCUUGCGAAGACACCGAUGAGUUGAGGGUUCCGGUACCUGAACUGUUGCACUGUUUGGACAGUGGCUUCCCACACAGUCCUUCAUUGCCUUCGAAUGAGCUGUUGGUGAACAGUGAGAACUGCUGCCCUUCUGGUAUCAUUCCGGUCAAAUUGUUGUAGGAGAGAUUCAACACGGCCAGAUAUGUUAGGCUGGUUUGAUCCCUUGGGAUCUCCCCCGAGAGCUUGUUCCGAGAGAGGUCCAGUGACUCAAGCUGUGCCAAGUCACCAAGCUUUGAUAGGAUUCUUCCAGUGAAGGCAUUAUGUGACAUGUUCAGGCCAUGUAGAGCAAUAAGAUUCCCAAUUGAGUCUGGCAUGGGACCAUCAAAUGUGUUGUUUGAGAAAUCAAGCAUCUUGAAAGUGGUCAGGAUCUUGGUAAAUGUAAGAUCAAUCCCUUUGAAUGUGAGUCUCUCUUGGUAGUACUCCCCGGGAAAUCUUGAGUCAAAGGCCAGAGCAUUACCCUUCUCACUAGAGUUUUCUGUCAUUCUUUGUAGCAUGUCAAACCAUUUUGAACUCAAGUUCCCAGAAAAGUUAUUUGAGGCCAAAUCAAUAAUCUGCAAAGCCGAGAAGCCCUUACUACUCGCAUCACUUUCACCAGGGCCUCCUAUUGAACCAUAUAAUUGAUUUGAUCUCAAGAUGAGAAUUCGUAGAUUAGACAUCUCACCCAACCAAGAUGGAAAAGUAUCAAGAAUUUGAUUGCUACCAAUGUCAAGAACCUCUAAGUUUCUGCAGUUACAUAAUGAUCUUGGUAUCUUCCCUUCAAUUUGGUUGUUGUUCAAAUCAAUUGUCUGAAGCAUACAUCCUUCUCCAAUAUUUUCAGGUAGUAUCCCAUGCAAAUGAUUAUCUCUCAAUUUCAACAUACCUAAGCUGCUACCUUCUAUUAGAUUCUGUAGUAGAGGAACAGAGUCUGCUAAAGCAAUAGACCAAGUUGAUCCACCGUUUACGAUUUGCACAUUAUCAAGAUAGAGAUCCCUUAGAUUGCAAAAUUUGGAUACGAAUGUCUGAAAACUUGGAUCUCGGAGAUAUAGAUCAUUGUGUGCAUAACCAGGCCAGUCAGUAUGAGAGGGAAGAUCAAGUGUACGCAAAUUUUGGAGGUGACCAAUUCCAAUGGGUAUCUGACCAAACAACCUCGUAUUAGAAAAAUUGAGACUGAGGAGCUCGGUCAGCCGCUCAAACCCAAAACUAUGAAGACUGGUCAGGCCAAAGUCAUUACCAGAGAGGCUGAGAUUUGUGAGAGAGGUGAGGUUGAAUAGUGCUAGGCUGAGACCACUGGUGCUCUGCAGGUUACGAUCACUGAGGUCCAAAGUGAUCACCCGACCGGAUGCCCUGUCACAUCCAACACCCUCCCAGUGGCAACAGUCUGUGCCCUGUUGCCAUGACGAGAGGUUGGGUUUGAGAAAGGAGUGCUUCAGCUGGAGCAGAGAUGAAGCCUGAUUAGGGAGGCACUGGACUGUGGUUCUAUUGCCGCCGUUGGCAGCAAUUUUGAUGGAGCAGUAGCAUGUGAGGAGUAGCAGGGUGAAGUGAAGCCGUGGGCUCCUGAAGCUCAUCUUUCUACUGCUUGUCUACCUUAUAGCUUCAAG